rnacentral:misc_RNA from 1 species
GAAAUGCGAUAAGUAGUGUGAAUUGCAGAAUUCAGUGAAUCAUCGAAUCUUUGAACGCACAUUGCGCCCCUUGGUAUUCCAUGGGGCAUGCCUGUUCGAGCGUCAUUUGUACCCUCAAGCUCUGCUUGGUGUUGGGUGUUUGUCCCGUCUCCGCGCGUGGACUCGCCCCAAAGUGAUUGGCAGCCGGCGUACUGGUCCCGGAGCGCAGCACAUGUCGCGCAAACGAGUGCCUUGGUACGGCGGCGUCCAUAAGCCCCUCUCUCACGCUCUUGACCUCGGAUCAGGUAGGGAUACCCGCUGCACUUAAGC